rnacentral:rRNA from 1 species
GUAACGACGCGCAACCCUUGUCCUUAGUUACCAGCACGUUAUGGUGGGCACUCUAAGGAGGACUAGCCGGUGACAAACCGGAGGAAGGUGGGGAUGACGUCAAGUCAUCAUGGCCCUUACGGCCUGGGCUACACACGUGCUACAAUGUCGGUACAAAGGGUUGCCAAGCCGCGAGGUGGAGCUAAUCCCAUAAAACCGAAUCGUAGUCCGGAUCGCAGUCUGCAACUCGACUGCGUGAAGUCGGAAUCGCUAGUAAUCGUGAAUCAGAAUGUCACGGUGAAUACGUUCCCGGGCCUU